CAAGUGAUUAGUUACUAUUUAUGAUUUGAGUUUUUAGCCGUUUAGCUCCAAUCACCCCCAUUCAUUUUGGACUCCCUCGCGGGCUCCCUCUAGCGGAAGUCUUGGAGGUGGUCAGUCUUUCCAUACACUGGCUCUGGGGAAACUGUUCAGUUUGUUUGUUUGUGGGCGCUGGCAGCUCGACACGUGGUUGUCGCAGGAGGGUGUGGAUAUUAUAGCAUCAAGCCCCUGCAGACCCCCAGCAUACUCCACUGUGAAUGGAAGUAAAAGGUUUCCAAGAAUUGAGAGUGACCUCAGUUGAACCAUGGCUGAACAAACAAUGUCCAAGUCCUCAAAGACCCCUGAAAAGAAUUCUUUGAAACAUGAACAUGUGCAAAAAAUAGCACAGUUCUUUACGACCUCCAAACGAAGUGAUGAUCCUGCUCCACAAACUUUUACAGGAGAUAAGAAUAUGUCUAGAGAAGCUGGUGAGUCCAGUCACACAGUGAUCACAGAACACACUGUGGGAUCCUUCAGUGAUUCAGAAAUGAGUUCUCCAAAACAUCGACUUAAGAAAAAAUUCACACGUCUCUUCAACAAUUCUAAACAUUCUGGACGUCCUGAUUCCCUACCAGAGGAUAAGAAACUGUCAAGGGAGGCUGUGGAAUCUUUUAGUGAUUCAGAAGUGAUUUCUACAAAAUAUGGACUCAGGAAACAAAUAAGACGCCUAAUAAAGAAUUCUAAACACUCAGGAGGU